rnacentral:rRNA from 1 species
UGGGGAAUAUUGGACAAUGGGCGCAAGCCUGAUCCAGCCAUGCCGCGUGAGUGACGAAGGCCUUAGGGUUGUAAAGCUCUUUUGGCGGGGAAGAUAAUGACGGUACCCGCAGAAUAAGCUCCGGCUAACUUCGUGCCAGCAGCCGCGGUAAUACGAAGGGAGCUAGCGUUGUUCGGAAUCACUGGGCGUAAAGCGCACGUAGGUGGGCAGUUAAGUCAGGGGUGAAAGCCCGAGGCUCAACCUCGGAAUUGCCUCUGAUACUGGCUGUCUAGAGUUCGAGAGAGGUGAGUGGAAUUCCUAGUGUAGAGGUGAAAUUCGUAGAUAUUAGGAAGAACACCGGUGGCGAAGGCGGCUCACUGGCUCGAUACUGACACUGAGGUGCGAAAGCGUGGGGAGCAAACAGGAUUAGAU